GGCUACCUGGCGCAAUGGUAGCGCGUUUGGCUUCGAUUGCUGGACCUACCAAAAGGUUGCAGGUUCGAGUCCUGCGGUGGUCA
rnacentral:tRNA from 1 species